UUGAUUGAAUGUGCUUCAUGUGAAAUAUUGACUUCUGUUUUGGUCAUUUGACUUGCCUUUGAUCCUAGUCUUUGUACUAGUGGUUUGUACAUAACUAAUUGAGCUUUGUGUUUCAGGUUUGAGCAUUUGGCACUAAUGGUUGGUUGGGUUUCACUAUUUGAGAUGCAAGUUGCUUUGAUUACUAACUCUUGUUGUCUUGUAGGUCAAUGGAUGUAAUGAAUUCACUUGAGUGCUU
rnacentral:lncRNA from 1 species